UACGUAGGGUGCAAGCGUUGUCCGGAAUUAUUGGGCGUAAAGAGCUCGUAGGCGGUUCGUCACGUCGGCUGUGAAAUCCCGAGGCUCAACCUCGGGUCUGCAGUCGAUACGGGCGGACUGGAGUACUGCAGGGGAGACUGGAAUUCCUGGUGUAGCGGUGAAAUGCGCAGAUAUCAGGAGGAACACCGGUGGCGAAGGCGGUUCUCUGGGCAUUCCCUGACGCUGAGGAGCGAAAGUGUGGGGAGCGAACAGG
rnacentral:rRNA from 1 species